GAUUAAAUUAACAGCAAUUUAUUACAUUGCUUACUUCUAUGUUAGUGAAACUUAUGUGUAUGAGUUAGUACGGAAUUAAAAUUGUUGAAAUUGAUUGCUUUGAAAAUAUCGGAUGGAUAACAAGUCAUUCACAAGCCUUAUGAGUGUGUGCAGUAUUCUAUGUGAUUCUAAAGGUCUACAUGGGCGGCAAUUGGCAGAUAUAAGAAGAUCGUAGAAAACCGUUGAAUUGUUAAGCUUAUCAUUUCAAGAAUGUUAAUUAUUUUCGAACGCUAAAUAUAAAAAUUAACAAGUCAUGUUAAAUUCGGGUGUAACCGAACAUUUUAUACUCUUGCAACUUUCAGGAAAGUAUACAUAUGUAAAUAACUGCAGGUGUUGGCAAUGUUAAACUUGUAGCGAAUAGAUUCAACUUCGUUGUUCGACGAAAUGGUGAAUGGAUUACAAUCACUAAGUUUCUUAUUAUAUUUUACUUCCCGUCAGCGAAAGUUUUACUAAAAUCAUUUGGAGCAUAGAAAUGGAAAGUCUGAUUGCAAAAAUUUUUGAUUGCUCAGGUAUCCUUGAGAACUUAUUUUCAAGUAAUUUUAUAUAUACAUAUAUAAAUGUAAAAAUAUAUAUGUAUAUAUGGAGUAAGGUCAGCUGGACUUUCAAAGUCCUGAAUAUCAGUUAUAUGGCUGUGAAGGCAAUUUUAACCCAAUUCGAUAAACUUUAGGGACAAAGAUAUAUUGUUAUUAGUAAAACAUGGUCUCUCGAUUUCACUAAGAUAUCGUAAUAUAUGGUUUAAAGUAAAAGUUCGAAAAUUUAUAUUAGAUAUACUACAUGGGGGCUAAGGGAAGUAUUGAUUCGAUUCAGUCCUAUUUUGGGAGAGUAUAUUAUUAUCAAAAAAAAAACAUUUUUUCCGAAUUUUACAAAUAUAUAUAUCUCACAGCUGUGACAACAAGUCACCCAUAGGCACUGACACUCCACAUGUUUGGUAUGUGGGACUUGAACAGUUAUGGUCCGAUUUUUACAAUUUUUAGACUCGAGCUGCAUAACUCAAAGGUACUAUUUGUACAAUGUUUCGUCUUAAUAUAUUGGUGGUUUAAGGGAUAUGUCCAUUACUCUUAUUAGAAGCCCCAUUUUUCAAAAUUUUCAGUUCACCGGUGCCCCUUGCCAUUGCAAUUCUCUGGUCCAAAUUAUAAGUUAGUGUUUAGUUAUGACCCUUAUACAUUUUCGAUUAAUAGCAGUGAUCCGAUUACGCCCAUCUACGAACACGUAUUCAGUUUUUUGUCAAGGAUCACAUGAACCAUGAUUCAAGGUUUCUCUUUUUUAUUCAAGUUAUUGCUUAGACGGACUGACAAUCAUUUAAAUAUAUAUAACUUUAUAUCUAUUUUGAUUACUUUUUGAUGAUACAAACAACCGUUAGGUGAACAAAACUAUUAUACUCUUCAGCAACAUGUUGCAAUAGUAUACAAUCAGAUAUGUAUGUAUGUUGUAAGGAAAGUUUUUUCGGUAGGAAUGAAAAGAAAUUCUGCUAAUGCGACUGCCUGAAACCGAUGACUUUUUGCUAAAGGUGAACCAAAACAGUAUUUGCCGAAGUCGAAAAUAAGAUACAUUUCUAUUUCUGGUCAUUGCCUUAACAAAAUUCUUCAUUGAACCCAAUUUAAUAGGCAAAGGUGGUAGUAAUGCCUUUUUGGGAUCAUCUAGAAGUUCACUGGCAACGUUUUUUUGUCCCGGAGUGAGUGCCUGACGUACUGGACUGCUCGGAGUGCUCAUGUGAAUUUGCUGAAUCGCCAGAAGAUACACGAAAGCAAAUCAGGCGAGUGCGGUGGUUGCGGCACGAUCUUAGUUGAAAAUGUGGUGAAAUGAUCCCGAAUAACCAAGGCAGUACCCUGCUAACCAUGAGCGGGUAAAACACCAGAUAAUCAGCGGGUAACAUGGUGGUAAACGUGGUGGUAAACAUAUAGAAUGUUUCUUAAGCCGGGCAGAUAUUUUACCUACCCACGUACGUAUACAUGUGAUCAUACAUCUUUGUUGCGCUCAUUCAGCAGUGUCAUAUAAAAAAAUAUAUCUGUCCUGCUCUAAUAUCCCUAAUUGACGGCUGAUGCAGGGUUGCAUUUUAAACAGCUGAUGCAGGGUUGUAUUUUUUAAUUCCUACUUUUAAAAUUUCAAACAAAACUUUUAAAUUUUUUAAAUUUUUAUUUUAUUUUAUUUUUCACAUAUUCUCAUAAAAUUUGUAUAAAUUAUAUAAAUAAAAAUAUAUUACAUUUAAUAAAUAAUUAUUAUCUGAAAAAAGAUUUAUUAAAGAGAAACAUUAUUGAUACCUGAAAAUAAAAGGCAAAUAUCUGAAAAAAGAUUGAAACAAAAUAAAGGUUAUUAAUACCUGAAAAUAAAUAAUAAUUACAUUGAAUUUGUAAUAUCUAAAAGAAAAGGAAAGAUUAAUUGUACAAAAUGAUAAUAAUAU